AGCAGCCGCGGUAAUUCCAGCUCCAAUAGCGUAUAUUAAAGUUGUUGCAGUUAAAAAGCUCGUAGUUGAAUUUCGGGGUUAGUAGGUUGGUCGUGCCACUGGUAUGUACUGGCUCUACUGAUCCCUCCUUCUUGUAGAACCGUAAUGCCAUUAACUUGGUGUUGCGGGGAAACAGGACUGUUACUUUGAAAAAAUUAGAGUGUUUAAAGCAGGCUAACGCUUGAAUACAUUAGCAUGGAAUAAUGAAAUAGGACGCUCGAUCCUAUUUUGUUGGUUUCUAGGAUUGACGUAAUGAUUAAUAGGGAUAGUUGGGGGCAUUAGUAUUCAAUUGUCAGAGGUGAAAUUCUUGGAUUUAUUGAAGACUAACUACUGCGAAAGCAUUUGCCAAGGAUGUUUUCAUUAAUCAAGAACGAAAGUUAGGGGAUCGAAGACGAUCAGAUACCGUCGUAGUCUUAACCAUAAACUAUGCCGACUAGGGAUCGGAUGAUGUUAAUUUUUUAAUGACUCAUUCGGCGCCUUA
rnacentral:rRNA from 1 species